rnacentral:rRNA from 1 species
CCCUUAGAUGCUCUGGGCCGCACGCGCGCUACACUGACUGGUGCAACAAGUGUCGCUCCUUGGCCGAUAGGCCUGGGCAAUCUUUGAACGCCAGUCGUGAUGGGGAUAGAUUCUUGCAAUUUUUGAUCUUCAACGAGGAAUUCCUAGUAAACGCGAGUCAUCAACUCGCAUUGAUUACGUCCCUGCCCUUUGUACACACCGCCCGUCGCACCUACCGAUUGAAUGGUCCGGUGAACCCUCCGGAUCGGCCCGCGCCAACGCAAGUUGAGCAAAGGCCGAGAAGUUGGGUAAACCUUACCAUUUAGAGGAAGGUGAAGUCGUAACA